rnacentral:rRNA from 1 species
AACAAACGCUGGCGGCGUGUCUUAAGCAUGCAAGUUGAGCGGCAAGGAGGAGAGAUCCUCCCUAGAGCGGCGGACUGGUGAGUAACGCGUGGGUAAUCUAUCGUAGGCAUGGGGAUAGUCACUAGAAAUAGUGGGUAAUACCGAAUACGUUCCAUGAGGGGAGUACUUAUGGAAGAAAGGGUGCUAUGGCACUGGCCUUAGGUGAGCUCGCGUCCCAUUAGCUAGUUGGUGAGGUAAAGGCCCACCAAGGCGAUGAUGGGUAGCCGGCCUGAGAGGGUGUACGGCCACACUGGGACUGAGAUACGGCCCAGACUCCUACGGGAGGCAGCAGCUAAGAAUAUUCCGCAAUGGACGAAAGUCUGACGGAGCGACGCCGCGUGGAUGAAGAAGGCCGAAAGGUUGUAAAGUUCUUUUGCUAGGGGAGAAUAAGUGAGGGAGGAAUGCCCUCAUGAUGACAAGGACUAGCGAAUAAGCCCCGGCAACUACGUGCCAGCAGCCG